UCCCUUUGCUCCUUUAGUAACUGCCUUCCAAUUCAAUACAUUAGUUACUACUGUGGAUUAGCCACAUCAGCUGUGGGGACAUGGCAUACUACUGCGAACAUGUUACUGCGUUAUUUCACAAACUGUCUCGCAGGCAAGCUCUUUUAGGGGUGCUCCCUCAACAUGGCAGGUGCCGGCCAGAGAUUAUUCCGUCACUUUUCAACAGGAGCCCAGGUCCUUUGAAAUAAGGAAAGAUAAACAACAUAAAAUGCACCAAAGAUGAAGUCCAGGAACCCUGGCGAAAACAGAAUUUU